GUGAUCACCUAAAAUUAAUUACUCUAUUUCGUAUUUAUUCGGUCGGGCGUUAGCCAUAUUUUUUAAAUUUAACUUAAUAAUGCAGUUUCAAUAAAUGAGGGUGCCAUACUCGUACUAAUGCAAAAUUCAUUCUUCUAAUCCGCUAUUUAUAAGUAUUAAACAUGUUCCGUACCGAUAACAAGGGAGUGAUUACCCUCAUCUAAACCCACAUACCUACGCUGUGGUUUCAUGUUUUUUUCUCUAAAAUAUGGUUUUUAUUUUUAGUUUUGGUCCGCGG
rnacentral:misc_RNA from 1 species